CCUUUCAAGCCAGGCAGUGGUGGGUUAGUCCCUACUCCCUAGCCGCUAGCGGCUAGCCCCUACCCUUGAAAUCUCAGCAGCCGCCGUCGCAUUUGAACCGGCAAUUGUUUUUUUUCUCGUUUGUUGUCAUUUUCGUUUUUAAUGGCGGCCUGCUGUCAUUUAAAAUGAAUAAAGAUAUUACUUAUAGAAAAGGGCCGACUGCUCGUGAAGAGAACGAUGGAAUUUAUAGAUUCGGCUGGGAAACUUGUCGAGAAAGCUUUUUUGCUUUUUUAGAUAAACAGACACGAGAGUUUGGUACCUUCUCAAACAGGCAUAAUUUCAAUCUAAUUAAUUUUAUCUGAGAUUUUUUUUACCAGAUUUUUUUACUAACAGGGUUUGUACAACUUCAAUCUGGAUAAAAGUAGAUUGAAUUCUAAUAGAUUGAACUCCUUCUAUAUUUACUGCAGGAGCCCUCACUUUUUGCCGUAGCAAAACUGUUGGAAACUGGUCUUGUAAAUCUGAACAGGGUAGACGUUCUUUGGCGUCCUGUAACCAUAGACAACGAAGUGGAAGACCACGAAGGGGGCCAUAAGGCUGAGAGGACGAGAGGUAGCGAUGCGCGUAACAUGCCGCAUGUGGCGCUGAGUCCGAUAAUAUAAUAAUUUUGGGUUUCCCUACUGAUUCAAUGCUUCACACACAGUCAUUUAAAAAUGAAUCAUGCACGGUAUCACUUUGGUAUGCACAUGUAAAUUAAGCGCAAAAAUUCAGCAUAUCGUGUGAAUUAUUUCAUAUUUUUAGUGGUUGGGUAACGUUCGUUCAUAAAAUGUUUUAUGUUUCCCCAUUUUCCCCCAUUUUCCGAAACAAGUUUGUAUCAAUCGUGAAACGCUGCAUGUUGGCAAUUGGUCUCGGAAAAUGGGGAAACAUUGAACCUUUGUUCAGCGCGCGCUAGUGAGUACAAAGUAGAGGGUGGUACUGGGAGUAUGCCAGAGGGGGGACACCGCGCCGAUUCGCUUAAAAUUACACAUGUGUCGACAAAAAAUUAAUUCAGGGAAUUCAUAUCAUAAGUUAGUACCAGGGGAUUUCUAGCAUCUAGAGAGGAAUGAAAUCCGUAUCAAUGCCAACAAACGGCAUGCAAAAGGUUCAAGCCGUUUGUGUACAAUUAAAUAAAUAAAAACACCCUUUCUCCAUAAGCUAACAUGUAAAAAACACCAUGUUCAAAGAUAGCUGGGUUUUACUUUGACGGAAAAACCAGCAGUCAGAAAAAAUUUUCAAUCUCACCGCUUAAUAGAAAAUUGUCUUAGCUAUUAAGCGAUAUAAAUGUAUAAGAAAUAGCUUAUAUGUUAGACUAGAAUAAGCGGGUCGGAGUCGUGCGCAUUUAACACGGGCGCUUAUGGUAAAACGCAAAAGCGUUCAAAGUGAAUGACGGUUAUUGUACAUGUAUAAUUUCGAUUAUAUUAAUUGUAUUUUUGGAGUGCCUAGAAGAAUAGUCGGAAGGUACACGUCGGGUAGGCUAUUAUUAUCAUGUUGCCCUCGUACAAAACGUGAUUAUUCUUUUUUUACUUCUUUAGCAUUUUUUGCUGUUUUGGAUAAAGAGACACCUUUAUCUAAAAAAAGUUGGUGCCUUCUCAAACAGGUAUAAUUUUGAUUAUAUUAAUUGUAUUUAUCAUGUUAUAUCAAUUAUUUUAUCACAUUAUUUUACUUUUAUUUAGUAAAUUGUCUUUAAAAUAACUGAAACAAUUUAUAUAGUUUAAUGUGUGCUGUAGAUAAUAAAUGAUGCACUUUCAUUUCCAUAUUUCAAUUGUACCCACUUUACUUUAAUUUUACUAUUUUUUAUUGCAUGGCAGCGAUGUAUAAAGUUUUUAUGACUCAAUUUUGAAUUUUUAAUUGGAGCCACAUUUAAAAUACGUUAUUUCUGUUUGCCUAUCGUGUUUUGUCAUGCUUAAGUCUGGAGAGAUUGGAUAUUGGUUACCUGCACUGCCAUAAAAGAUUUUGAUUUAGGUUUUAAUCUCUUUUUAAAAUGAUUAUAAUGGCAAGUUCCGAAAAUGACGAAGUAAAUUCUGACCAGCACUCAACAGCAGAAAUCGACAGAUUUGAGUUUAGGAAGAACCAGCCAUCAACAGCAUCAGGCAAUAAAACAGUUGGGUUAAUGAAGAAACAUUCAGAUCCCGUUAAGAAUAAGGAAAGGAAUGCGAAGAAUUCGUGCAAAUCAAACACUGGGCACAUGUAAAAAAUUCUUUUUAUUUAAAUAGAACAUUAUUUCGUUUCAAA